ACGGAGGAUCCAAGCGUUAUCCGGAAUCAUUGGGUUUAAAGGGUCCGUAGGCGGUUUGGUAAGUCAGUGGUGAAAGCCCAUCGCUUAACGAUGGAACGGCCAUUGAUACUGCCAGACUUGAAUUACUAGGAAGUAACUAGAAUAUGUAGUGUAGCGGUGAAAUGCUUAGAUAUUACAUGGAAUACCAAUUGCGAAGGCAGGUUACUACUAGUGGAUUGACGCUGAUGGACGAAAGCGUGGGGAGCGAACAGGAUUAGAUACCCUGGUAGUCCACGCCGUAAACGAUGGAUACUAGCUGUUCGGAGUAAUCUGAGUGGCUAAGCGAAAGUGAUAAGUAUCCCACCUGGGGAGUACGUUCGCAAGAAUG
rnacentral:rRNA from 1 species